rnacentral:rRNA from 1 species
GAUCUAGCCAUGCCGCGUGAGUGAAGAAGGUCUUAGGAUCGUAAAGCUCUUUCGCCAGGGAUGAUAAUGACAGUACCUGGUAAAGAAACCCCGGCUAACUCCGUGCCAGCAGCCGCGGUAAUACGGAGGGGGUUAGCGUUGUUCGGAAUUACUGGGCGUAAAGCGCGCGUAGGCGGAUCAGAAAGUUGGGGGUGAAAUCCCAGGGCUCAACCCUGGAACUGCCUCCAAAACUCCUGGUCUUGAGUUCGAGAGAGGUGAGUGGAACUCCGAGUGUAGAGGUGAAAUUCGUAGAUAUUCGGAAGAACACCAGUGGCGAAGGCGGCUCACUGGCUCGAUACUGACGCUGAGGUGCGAAAGUGUGGGGAGCAAACAGGAUUAGAUACCCUGGUAGUCCACACCGUAAACGAUGAAUGCCAGUCGUCGGGUAGUAUACUAUUCGGUGACACACCUAACGGAUUAAGCAUUCCGCCUGGGGAGUACGGUCGCAAGAUUAAAACUCAAAUG